AGCGGUCUUAAUUUUUAAUUUAAUUUUAAUUUGUUUAGACUAUAAUUACCAUUAUUAGAAUUAAAAGUAAUUUACCGAUGCAUUUCAAAUUUGAACAUUAUUGUAAAUGUUUAUGUGCUUAUUUGAUAACUAUUAUCUGUUCAAAAUUGCUAAAUUAUAAUUUUAGGAUGAUAGGAUUUCAUUCAAAUUUUUAGUUAAUAAAUUUAUUCUGGACACCGCAAAACUAAAUUCUCAAAAGGACCAUUAGAAAAUUUAGUGUGUAUUUUUAAAGCAUUGAUGUAAUUUUAGUGUAAAUAUAAUAAAAAUAUAUAGAUAAAUUAA
rnacentral:misc_RNA from 1 species